GAUGAAGAACGCAGUGAAAUGCGAUAAGUAAUGUGAACUGCAGAAUUCAGUGAAUCAUCGAAUCUUUGAACGCACAUUGCGCCCGCCAGUAUUCUGGCGGGCAUGCCUGUUCGAGCGUCAUUUCAACCAUCAAGCCCCAGGCUUGUGUUGGGGACCUGCGGCUGCCGCAGGCCCUGAAAACCAGUGGCGGGCUCGCUGUCACACCGGGCGUAGUAGAUUUUAUCUCGCUCAGGGCGUGCUGCGGGUUCCGGCCGUUAAAAAGCCUUUUUUACCCAAGGUUGACCUCGGAUCAGGUAGGAAGACCCGCUGAACUUAAGCAUAUCAAUAAGCGGAGG
rnacentral:misc_RNA from 1 species